rnacentral:rRNA from 1 species
GACGAACGCUGGCGGCGUGCCUAAUACAUGCAAGUAGAACGCUGAAGGAGGAGCUUGCUUCUCUGGAUGAGUUGCGAACGGGUGAGUAACGCGUAGGUAACCUGCCUGGUAGCGGGGGAUAACUAUUGGAAACGAUAGCUAAUACCGCAUAAUAGUAGAUGUUGCAUGACAUUUGCCUAAAAGGUGCAAUUGCAUCACUACCAGAUGGACCUGCGCUGUAUUAGCUAGUUGGUGGGGUAACGGCUCACCAAGGCGACGAUACAUAGCCGACCUGAGAGGGUGAUCGGCCACACUGGGACUGAGACACGGCCCAGACUCCUACGGGAGGCAGCAGUAGGGAAUCUUCGGCAAUGGACGGAAGUCUGACCGAGCAACGCCGCGUGAGUGAAGAAGGUUUUCGGAUCGUAAAGCUCUGUUGUAAGAGAAGAACGAGUGUGAGAGUGGAAAGUUCACACUGUGACGGUAUCUGACCAGAAAGGGACGGCUAACUACGUG